rnacentral:rRNA from 1 species
CAGCCGCCGCGGGAAUACGUAGGGUGCGAGCGUUAAUCGGAAUUACUGGGCGUAAAGCGUGCGCAGGCGGUUUUGUAAGACAGGCGUGAAAUCCCCGGGCUCAACCUGGGAAUGGCGCUUGUGACUGCAAAUCUAGAGUGCGGCAGAGGGGGAUGGAAUUCCGCGUGUAGCAGUGAAAUGCGUAGAUAUGCGGAGGAACACCGAUGGCGAAGGCAAUCCCCUGGGCCUGCACUGACGCUCAUGCACGAAAGCGUGGGGAGCAAACAGGAUUAGAUACCCCCGUAGUCCCUGUCUCUUAUAC